UAUUGACUUGUGUUAUUUGUUUAUUUGUGCCCAUAUUGUUCAGUGUGUGUGUAACAGAAGAGGUGUUUGUGUGUUAUAGAUUACAGGGAGUGAUUAUUGCUGACUUACCUGUAUGUCUAUUUUUAAGUUACCUUACCUGUAUAGUUAUAUUUUUAUACAUCACAUGACGUACAUGUGAUAGGUUUCUAUACUUUUUAUUGGUCAAGAUAUUAUAAUAGCCUUUGGUCAGUUUGGCGGGAAUCUCUUUGUAAGGAAGUUAGUUCUCUACAGUCUGCCAAACUGAUCAGACCUAUACAUAUAUUGAGUCGGACAUUUGUGACAAAGGACCGAAAGACAGAGAAUUUAUAGGUAAGUUAUGGUUCUAGUGAAUUAUUACUGUUUCAAUGUAUUGUAUCUAACUAGCUUAUAUUGUAGAUUUGCUAUGAACUUUAUAAGUUUGGCAUUUAAGUUAAAUUAUUAUCUUUAUUCAAAAUCUCUAUUUUGAAUUGUAACUUUGUAUAUACAGAGUAGUAUUUUUCAGUAAUAUAUAUAUAUAAGUGAGUAAUGGUUAAAUUAAUCUAUUAUAUAUGUACAGAUCUGCAGUAUUAUUAGAAAGAACUGUUUUUAUGCAUUUUUUAGAUUGUCAUAAGAAACAUGGAAUACUGGUGAUGAUAUGAGGUUGAAACGGCUCUGUGCCAUACACAGAGUGUAGGUGUUUUAACCUACUGAACUUGUCAAAAUAAAGAACUCACGACAAACAAAUCAUGUCCAAGUGGUUAUUUGAUAUCCCCGGUUACAUGUGGAGCCCCCAGUGAGGAAUAUUCAUCGACAGUACAAGCGUCACCGACUGUGUUUCAGACAGUGUGUUUCACGUGUGUAUAUUCAAGCGUCCAUAGGACGGAGACUCAAUUUAUGUCAUUCUUGCUGAGAUGUGCUGCCCUGCUUGAUCCAAUCACUUUAGUGAUUCAGACUUUCCAAUAUGGCGGCAUAUUGUGUGUUUUGAAAUUCUAUGGAUAGUUAUUUUGGAAAUUUUGGCGUUUCCAGCUGAAGAACAAGAUUGUCAUAAGAAACAUGGAAUACUGGUGAUGAUAUGAGGUUGAAACGGCUCUGUGCCAUACACAGAGUGUAGGUGUUUUAACCUACUGAACUUGUCAAAAUAAAGAACUCACGACAAACAAAUCAUGUCCAAGUGGUUAUUUGAUAUCCCCGGUUACAUGU